rnacentral:rRNA from 1 species
UGGGGGAUAUUGCACAAUGGGCGAAAGCCUGAUGCAGCGACGCCGCGUGGGGGAUGAAGGCCUUCGGGUUGUAAACUUCUUUUGCUCUGAACAAGGCAUGCUAAUGGGUGUGUUGAGUGUAGGGGUUGAUUAGCGCCGGCUAACUACGUGCCAGCAGCCGCGGUAAUACGUAGGGCGCGAGCGUUGUCCGGAAUUAUUGGGCGUAAAGGGCUUGUAGGUGGCUGGUUGCGUCUGUCGUGAAAGCGAAGGGCUUAACUGUGGGUUUGCGGUGGGUACGGGCUGGCUUGAGUGCGGUAGGGGAGGCUGGAAUUCCUGGUGUAGCGGUGGAAUGCGCAGAUAUCAGGAGGAAUACCGGUGGCGAAGGCGGGUCUCUGGGCUGUUACUGACACUGAGGAGCGAAAACAUGGGGAGCGAACAGG